rnacentral:lncRNA from 1 species
CAGGCAAUUAUUUCGAAAAAGAGUUCGCAUGCUAGUUCCCACAUACUGGAUUCAGAUUCAUUGGUAAUGGAGGCCUUGUGUACUAUGCAAUACUAAGAAAACUACAUUCAUGUGUCAACAUUUGCUGUUAUUAACAGAGAUAUACACAGAUCAUUGUGGAUUAUAAAUAAAAGUUGGAUCUUUAAAAGCGACCACGUUACCUAACUGGAAUAGUGUUUUCAAGUAGAUGUAUUUUCGUAUUACUUUGAAUAUUACAAAUAUAUGGACAUUUGUUUUCGUAAUGUGAAAUGAUAACGUUUCUCGAAAAUGUCAGGACAGAAACAUUCAAUAAUUACAUUCUAACCAUAUCAAGUUGUGUAAGAUGUGCAAACAGUGACAAAAAAUCAUGAUGGAAUAUAUUGAAAAUCUUGUAAUCUUUCACAAUUUGUAAUUAUUUCUAUGAUGACUAAUGGCAAUACAUGCAAACAACAUGUAUUUUGUCUGUUUUCAGAAAGUUGAAUGCAUAAGGACUUGUAUUCUAUUUCACACAGUAUCAGUUACCUUGGACAUUCAGUUUUCUGAAACUUAUCAGAAUUUUACCCGUUAUCUUAGCUUUCCUGUACAUUUUUAUUCUUUAUUCAAUGAAUAUACAUGUAUGAUUACAUAACACAGUGCUUAACACAGUGUUUGAAUUCUGAUAGCAACAGCAAUACUCAUCUUUUCAUCAGAUUUCAGAAUGUCUAGAAUUUUGAGUGCAAUGUUAUCACUCAUUUUAUUUAUCUGAUUUAAGAUAGAUGAAUACAGUAUCAACAUACAUGUAGGUCGCUUGUAAUGGCUUAUCGGAAUUCGGAUAGCAACAUUGACACAUUUAUUGAUUAUUUAUUUCCUCUGUUUAUAGUUAUAUAAUUCAGAUAGUUAAGUCAAUGCUGUUUUUUCUACUGCCUGCUCUCAAAUGGUGUUUAUCUGAAUUCGGCUAGCAAACGCAAAGCACAGUUUCUCUUCUAUUCGGUUCCAGAUCGUUUUACGCUAUGUCUUAGGCGAAUUCGGAUAACAACGAUAAUACAUACACAAGAUCUAUUUCAUAUAUUCCUGAUGAGAUGCAAAACUUAUAGUUAUUUCAAUUCAAAUAGCAAAGCCAAUGUUAGGUUUUUGAACUGCAUAAUUGCUUAUCUGAAUUUGGAUAGUAAAAACGAAACACAAUUUUUAUUCUGUCCAACUUUAGAUAGUCAAUAUUGUAUGGACUUGUCUGAAUUCGGAUAAUAAUACAAACUCACAAUUUGGUCAAGUGUAUUUACUUGUUCGUUUAAUGAUCAGGUACAAGGUUUCUUCCGUAAAUUAUCGUAUUUGGUAAAGUGUAUAUUAGCUCAGAACAGUGUAGCAUAAUGAAUAUUGGAUUUAAUCUGACAAUAUUUUGUAUUUGUAUAUUAAUAUAAAAUGAAUUGAAGUUAAUCAAAGUCUGCCUUUUAUCUGUUUUCGGAUAGAGCAGUUUUCUUAUACAUACUUAGAUAUGUGGUUUCCUGUUCCCUGCUCGAGGUGUCUUGUAUUAUAUUCAUGAUCAUUAAAGUUAUGAAACAUUUA